CAGUAGCCGCGGGAAUACAGAGGGUGCAAGCGUUAAUCGGAAUUACUGGGCGUAAAGCGCGCGUAGGUGGUUUGUUAAGUUGGAUGUGAAAGCCCCGGGCUCAACCUGGGAACUGCAUCCAAAACUGGCAAGCUAGAGUACGGUAGAGGGUGGUGGAAUUUCCUGUGUAGCGGUGAAAUGCGUAGAUAUAGGAAGGAACACCAGUGGCGAAGGCGACCACCUGGACUGAUACUGACACUGAGGUGCGAAAGCGUGGGGAGCAAACAGGAUUAGAGACCCCCGUAGUCCCUGUCUCUUAUAC
rnacentral:rRNA from 1 species